GGGGAUUUAGCUCAGCGGCAUAAGCACCUGCCUUGCAAGCAGGCGAUAAAAAAAAAGUACAAAUCCUCG
rnacentral:tRNA from 1 species